rnacentral:miRNA from 1 species
AGCAUGAUGGGAGUUGUA